UUUUUUUUUUUUUUCCAUCGAUACCAAGGACCAAAGAGAAAAGCAGGGAAAAUUAGCUUUUUCAAGAUAGAAGUAUUUUUUUUAAGGAAUUCUUUUUUCCUUUUCUAUUUUUAUUUUUUUAAGAUUUUAUUUAUUUAUUCAGGAGAAACACAGAGAGGAGAGAGAGAGAGAGGCAGAGACACAGGCAGAGGGAGAAGCAGGCUCCAUGCAGGGACCCCAACGUGGGACUCGAUCCCAGGCCUCCAGGAUCAGGCCCUGGGCCGAAGGCAGUGCUAAACUGCUGAGCCACCCAGGCUGCCCGAUAGAAGUAUUUUUUUGAUGAUAUUUAUUUGUAAGCUAUGAGAAUUUAAAUGGAAUAAAAUUAUUUGCAUAUAAAUUCACAUUGUUCAAAAUAUUAAAAAACUAUAAAAGAUGUCUGUGUAACUACAGAUGUAUAUUAUUUGCUGUAGAUUUAAAGUAUUUAUGUACUUGAGCACAAACAUACAGGGGAGGGAGGAGGAAGUUUUGGUGGGAUUGAGAAUCUAAAAUUUAAACUUAAAAGGUUUAUGUUCACAUCUUCUCUCCUUAUUGUCCAAUUUGUAGAUUCUAUUUAAUAUCAGCCUUAUCAGUGUAGGUACUUUUGAAUAUGUUUUACAUUUAGUUACUCUUGCUCAAUUUAUAUUUUAUCAUGGUGGAUAAUUCCCAUGGCAUAAUAGAAUUUUAAUUUUUAUUCUUCACAUUUUUUAUCUACUAAAAAGCAACUGUGAGGACUGAGUUGUUUUCUUCUUGAUCACAUCUCCUACAUAAAUUAAUUACAAGGCAUAUGGCUUUAUAUGUUUACAGGGCAAUUUACUUUUGACAACAUGAAUAUGGCCAAGAAAUUUCACAAGCUCUGGCUGAUGGAUUGAUGAAACUUUCAAAAGAUAAUUCUGAAAGAAAUGCUAUAGAAGACAGCCCUCAGGACACAAAAUCAAGUCUCAGCAAAAAUGAUCCAAACUUGGAGAUGCUGGUUAAACUGAUGUCAAGAAUGCAUUUAUUCUUCAUGGUCCAAAACGUGAAUGGAUUUGUGCUACAGAGGCUGAGGAUGAUAAAUUCCUAUGGUUGUCAGUGCUCCAAAGUGCAAUCAAAAGUAGUAUGGAGAAGUGAGAAAACAUUAUGGACGCUAAUUCUCCCUGGCAAAGAUGGUGUAUUUUGUGUUCCAGAAGAUACAGUAGGAAGUGGAAUGAUGAUUUGUCAUGAUGAUGGGAGAAUGAACUAG
rnacentral:lncRNA from 1 species